UGUAAGCUGUGAUCACUUCAAAGUUGUUCCCCAGAGUUGGUAAUUGCAUAUGAUGAAGAGUUUAUGAAUAAACACAACCAACUUUUUGGAGAAUAACUUGACUAGCCUUUUUAAGGCCCCAUCGCCCGAGGAUCUAGCUAUCACCAUGUAUAUUUAGGACCCUUGCUUCUUUCAGUUCACAGAAUGCACCUGCCCUGGGGAUAAAUCAUGGCUGAGGACAGUGGCGUAGCCAGCUUCUCAGAGGAGGGGCAGCAAACAUAAAAAAGGACGCCUACCUGAUUUGUUGCAGAAGUUGGAAGGUAUAAAGUGAAUGAGGAAGGGGACUGCAGGAAGAGACAGGAUGGUCUCUGGUUAAGAUGCAGUAUGUGAUAAUUAGCAGAAUCAUCCAGAUUGGAAGAGACCUUGAGGCAAUCCUCCUGCAUGAUGGAAGGAAAUUCCUGAGUGUAGCAAACCACUCAAAAAGAUGGGGAAAAUGAGGCACAGAGACUCUGAAUGACCUGCUUAAGGUCAUACAAGAAACCUGUUGCAGAGUCAAGAACAGACCCAAGAUCUCCUGACAUUCAGUCUUUCUUCUUUAACGAGCACACAACCCAAAAUAUAAAAUUAAAUGUGAUUAAAUGCUGCA